UACGGGGGGAGCAAGCGUUGUUCGGAUUUACUGGGCGUAAAGGGCGCGUAGGCGGUCAGCACAAGUCAGUUGUGAAAUCUCCGGGCUUAACUCGGAAAGGUCAACUGAUACUGUGCGACUAGAGUGCGGAAGGGGCAACUGGAAUUCUCGGUGUAGCGGUGAAAUGCGUAGAUAUCGAGAGGAACACCUGCGGCGAAGGCGGGUUGCUGGGCCGACACUGACGCUGAUGCGCGAAAGCCAGGGGAGCGAAAGGG
rnacentral:rRNA from 1 species